rnacentral:rRNA from 1 species
UACGGGGGGAGCAAGCGUUGUUCGGAUUUACUGGGCGUAAAGGGCGCGUAGGCGGCCACCGCAAGUCGGUUGUGAAAUCUCUGGGCUUAACCCAGAAAGGUCAACCGAUACUGCGGGGCUAGAGUGCAGAAGGGGCAACUGGAAUUCUCGGUGUAGCGGUGAAAUGCGUAGAUAUCGAGAGGAACACCUGCGGCGAAGGCGGGAUUGCUGGGCUGACACUGACGCUGAAGCGCGAAAGCUAGGGGAGCAAACAGG